CUCAAAGAAGGUGACGCCAAUACUAAAUUCUUCCACCGCCGGGUUAAUGCUAGGAGGAGAAAAAAUCAUAUCCAUCGAAUCAAGAACGAGCAUGGUUGGGUCACCGAACAUGAAGCCAAAGAAAACUUAAUCCAAGACCACUUCUCUCAUGUUAUGAAGAAAGGAGCGAAAAGUUCAAAAGAUUUCAAUUGGGAGGAGCUCAAUAUGGAACGCCUUGACAUGCAUGGCCUUGACUCUCCAAUGACCGAGAUGGAGGUUCUUCAAGCAAUCAACGACAUGCCAAAUGACAAGGCCCCGGGUCCGGAUGGAUUCACGGGCCUAUUCUUCAAAAAGUGUUGGGGCACUGUCAAGCACGACCUCAUGAGGGCCAUUGCUCGUUUCGACUCCCUCCACACUUCGAACCUCCACUGGCUCAACUCUGCGAAUGUGGUGCUCUUGCCAAAAAAGGAUGGGGCAGAGGGGAUUGCAGACUAUAGGCCUAUUAGUCUCAUCCAUGCGAUCGCCAAGAUUAUUGCAAAGGUGCUCUCCACUCGGCUCACUCCGCACAUGACGGACCUCAUCUCCAAUGCCCAAAGCGCCUUCAUCAAAACGAGAAGUAUUCAUGAUAACUUCAUGUAUGUUCGCAAUCUUGCACGACGCCUGCACAAGAGCAAGACCCCAUCCCUCCUUUUCAAAUUAGAUAUUCGCAAGGCAUUCGACUCAGUCAAAUGGGAAUAUAUACUGGGCCUUCUCCAGCGGCGAGGUUUCCCAAGCAAGUUUAGGGAUUGGAUCACGGCGCUUCUUAGUUCUUCAUCAUCG
rnacentral:rRNA from 1 species